CUCGCAAGACCUGGUUGUUUAAAAGUGGGCGGCACCUUCCCCUUCGCUCUUCCUCCUGCUCCUGCCCUGAUGUGUCUGGAUGGUGACAGAUGGGAAUCUUCUCCAGUGACCAGAAUCCAUGCCUUACCUUGGGAGCCCAAGCUGACUUCUCAAGCUCUGGGGAUGCCUCAGUGAUCUCUGAUGUGGAAUUAGUGGAGGCUGGCCGUUGCUCACCUCUACACAGCCUGCUGGUCGUUAGCGAGCAGGAGUUCUGAUGUUCCUCUCAUCUUGGAUGUCUUUCCUAGGAGAAUAUUUCUCACGUGUUUGACAGAAAACAUUAUCUGUCCAUCAUUUCCAUGGAUUCCUGGGUCUCACGGGCAGAAGGACAAGGCAGAUAUGAGGCGGAUCUGGUAAAACCAUAAACACCAUGAGAUCAGAGCAUCCAUCUGUAGACUCACAGAGCAAGAAGCGUGACUGCCCCAAUCUUGAAUGGAUGAGUAAGAUGAAAAUCAAUUUAUAAACAUCUUGUGACAAGCUGGAAUUCAGUUAUAGAUCAAUUACAGAUUGCUCACUGGACAAUCAAGGACAUUAUUAGAAAACGGUUUCCACCACUAGAAAUUCAUCUACAUUGACAUCCACCUAAAUAUCCAGAAGGUCAUCCCCACUUUCGUCGCUCUCCACAGUCAGCUGCCGGGUCCACCACUUCUUAACUUCAGAACCGCAGGAAGCCGCGUCAGUCAUGGGGUUCAUUUUGCACACGACAGAUUUCAUGGUUGUCCUUCCUCCAAACCGAGGAACCUAGAUCUUCUCUGAUCUCUGAAAAAUAAGUUCCUGGAUAUGAAAGGGGAUACUUUCCUUGGUGGUAGUCCCAGUGAAGACCCACUGAACAUCGUCAGCCUCAAAAUGUAAGCUGUGCUGUCAUCUGCUUUGUGGAACACAUAUGCUACACAUCUUCUCCUUUCAAUUGGGCUGAAGUUGGGGCACAGUUAAAGAGCAUUAUAAAGCUCCUGCUUUAGCAUGAACUUAGUUAUCUAUAGAAAAAAACAUGUACAAGGACACUGGGCUGUGGGGAGCAUUGCUCUCCCUCCAUUCCUGAGUGCUCUUAAUGGGAUUAUCCUGGCUUUCCAAAACCCUAUAGAGAAGAAGCUCAUAGAAGAAAAUUCUCUUACUGAAUCAGUAAAAUAUGGAAAAUAAUGGGACUGUUUAUUAAAGGAUUGAAUGAGAGAACACAAGUAAUGCACUUAGAAGAGUGACUGGCAUACAGUGAGUACUACGUGCUGGCUUCUCAACCAUGAUAGCCUGAAAUGUACCCGGAAAAUGGGGGCUAAUGUAAGUCAUAUUUAGAGAAGUUAUUUUGGGGGACAAUGUUUUUGACAAGACUACAUUUUUCAUUAUGUUGCUGUCUGUAAACAACUGUAGAUGCAGACUUGCAUUUUGAAAGGCAAGACCCAAAACACACAAACAGAGUAAAUACCUUUAAAAUGCCUCGAUCGCUGGAGAAAUGCCUGGAUGGACCUACCUGAGGGCAGACGCCACUGCCCAAAUUUCCUCUGGGGUUUCCCUGCGUCGGCUGCAUCUUGCCGACUUCCUCCUCGAUCCGACAGCGUGGGGCUCAGGAGCUGCUGCUGGCUGCUUGUCUGCAUGGGAGGAGAAGCACACAGUUACCGUCUUUUUAACCCUGCGCUCUCCUCCUUUUACUAUAAGAAAGGAAAACACAUGGCAGGAGGACAAGUGGGAAGAACAACAUGGACUCAGAGUGUCCACAAUGGGGAAAAGUGAAAAUGGGUAUAAAGGGUCACAGAAGAAAAAGAGCCACCACUGCACGCCCUGCUGAAGGAGACACCACUCUUCCUGGGACAUCUUGUCCUGGGUAACCCCCACUGCUUCGUUCCCCUCCAUGCCUGAGAAUGUCAUUGUUUCCCUUCAUAUCUUCGCUGGCAAACCAGGGGGUAAGGAAGGGGAACUGCAGGAAGGAAGGUGGGGCAGUGGGGACGGGCUGGGCGGGGGCAGUCUACUGUCACCAGCCUGGAGAUCCACACUUAGAGCUUCAGGGAAAGAGUUCUCUGCAGGCAAAGCUGUAUGAUGGGCCCUGGUGGAGGAUGGAGCUGAUAACAAUCUAAGCUACAGUGAAAGAAAGAGAGAUGCCAAGACUUCCCACACAUUUCACCUGUUCUCAGGUUCACCUGUCACCUCUCCCUUUCCUAACAAAAGCCUUGGUCUUCACAUCUCUUUAGUAUCCUUUUUUUUUUUUUUUUGUCACCUCUUUCUUUCUUAGGCUUUUUCAUCUAAAAACAGAGGGCUCUGAAAUCAUCACUUUCCCCAACCUCAUUAGCCCUGUCUCACUGUCUGUCCUGACUUCAGCCUGCCUCCCUCUCCCAUGCGAGACAUUGCCAACCAUCUUCAGGGUGACCAGUGGCAAGGCCACUGCAGAUGCCUCCCCUUGCCCCUUGGUUGACUAACUCCGCAGAAGUCCCUGCAGUCGGUGGCAGAUGAUUUCUAAAGGCUGGGGAGCCCAAAACAUGAGAUCUACUGAAAACUGAGCUAUGGCACCAGUGGGCCUCCUGGAGCACCCUGCUGGGCCGUGGAGCCUUAGGCUUCCAAAGGUACUCUGGCCCCUGGCUGCGUUGCUGCACACCAUGGAGCCUGGUGCUGCUGGGGGCUCUGCACAGAGCACGGGAUCAGCUCCACGUUGUUAACCUCAAAUCGUAAUUGCUGCCUCAUAAAGGGGCAGGUCCUCCCAGCCAGCUGCUUCUCACAGCACAGGACUCUCCAGGACGCUGAUAACUCCUUGUACUUUUUUAUAUAGACACAUACAUAGAGUUUGAAAAUGAAAAUAUGCUGUGACUUAAUAAAUAGAAACUCCUCAAAAAAAAAAAAAAAAA
rnacentral:lncRNA from 1 species